AUUGAACGCUGGCGGCAGGCCUAACACAUGCAAGUCGAACGGUAACAGGAAGCAGCUUGCUGCUUUGCUGACGAGUGGCGGACGGGUGAGUAAUGUCUGGGAAACUGCCCGAUGGAGGGGGAUAACUACUGGAAACGGUAGCUAAUACCGCAUAACGUCGCAAGACCAAAGAGGGGGACCUUAGGGCCUCUUGCCAUCGGAUGUACCCAGAUGGGAUUAGCUAGUAGGUGGGGUAACGGCUCACCUAGGCGACGAUCCCUAGCUGGUCUGAGAGGAUGACCAGCCACACUGGAACUGAGACACGGUCCAGACUCCUACGGGAGGCAGCAGUGGGGAAUAUUGCACAAUGGGCGCAAGCCUGAUGCAGCCAUGCCGCGUGUAUGAAGAAGGCCUUCGGGUUGUAAAGUACUUUCAGCGGGGAGGAAGGGAGUAAAGUUAAUACCUUUGCUCAUUGACGUUACCCGCAGAAGAAGCACCGGCUAACUCCGU
rnacentral:rRNA from 1 species